GCGCACUUGUGCACCAUAAAUUUAGAAGACUCCGCAGAGAGGCUUAAGAAGGCAGCCUAAUACAAUAAAGAUAAUAUCAAAGCAGUAAAUAAGCGGCAAUAAACACAUUAGGCCCAAAAACACAGUAGUAACAUCAAAUUAAUAAAGCCAAGUAUAGAUCAGAUUACAAGCUCGAAUUCUAAACCCAGAACAGAAGUUCUG
rnacentral:lncRNA from 1 species